UCUUAUGAAUCUAUAUUCUAAUCAUAUUUACAUGAAAAUAUGUUAAUUGUAUGGCCAGUAACUCAUUCCCUGAGUUUAAUUUGACUGUCCCUUGUUCAUUUCCUCCCACUGCCCUGGGCCAGUGUGUUUAAAAAUAUUUUGCUGCAACCCAGGACACACACAUACACCUGAAAUAAAGCUUUUAUUAAGCAAUUCUUACUCUUGAUACAUGCAACAAACUCUUUUAAAAUUUUACUUUUUAAAAUAAUUGUUUUUUAAAAGAAUUGAUCACUGAAUUGAUCUCAAAUCACUAAGCUGAUUUUAAGACUCACAUUUAGGUCAUGAGCUGAAAUUGAAGAACACUGUCAUAGAAGACUAUUUCACACUUUCUCUAUCUUAAAGCCUCCUCACACCUUCUUCUGUCCUCACUCUCAGCUGCUGAGCUGGCUUUCUAUUUCACUGAGAAGCUAGAAGCAGUUACAAAUCUUCCCCAGGUCCUCACGGCUCCCUUUUCUAGUCACUGCCUCUGUCCCUGUACAUGUCACCUUCCUUCCUGAUACGUGGAAGGCCUGUCCAUGCCCCACGUUCCCGUCUAAGGCCAGCCCCUCCGCCGGUACACCAGCUCCUCCUCCCACUUGUUCAGGACACAGCUUCAUAGACAUCCCAAAUUUAACAGGCCCCAAAUUGAACUCCCCACCUUGUUAAUUCCCAUCUGGGUAAGCACCACUCCGUUGCUGUAGUUGCUUAGGCCAAAAACCUUGGAGUCGUUCUUGACUUCUAUUUUUGUUACAGGAUAUCCAAGCCAUCAUUACAUACUGCUUUGUCCUACCUUUAAUUGAUAACCAGAAUCCAACUGCCUCUCACCACUCCCACCUCAAGCAACCUGGCCCAGGCCACCAUUUUUUCUGCCCUGGAUUGUUGCUCUCAACUCCUAACUAGUUUCCCAGCUUCUGAUCUUGUCUACAGUCUAUUCUCCAUGAAGCAGCUGGAAUGCUCCUUUCAGACAGAUCACAUCAUCUCCUCUGAUGAAAUACUUAUACUUAUCAGAAUAAAAGUCAAAACAUUUUCAAUAACCGAAAGGUUCUUCAUGUUUGCCUCCUGCCCCUACUAAUCCCUCUGACAACUUUUACCCCACAAUAGAAUGCUUAUUUCUUUAAUGUGCAAGGCCAAGUCGGCCCCAGGGACUUUGCUCUUGCAAUUCCCAUUGUCUGGAAUACUUGUCCUCCUCAAUACCAACAGGGCUCACUCUAUCAGUUUUCUCAUCUCUCUCUCUCACUUCUUUUAGGUCUCUGCUCAAGCUCACUCUUCUCAGUGAUAUCUUUCCUGCCCGCCAUUGUAAAACAGCAGCACCCUCCCUCCAUUCCAGCCUCCUUCUCCCCCUAUUCAUGAACAGUGAGAUUCGAGGCUGAAACUGACCUACUAAAUUGGAGUCCUACAUGCUGCAACAUCGCCUUGCUAGUCUGGUCAUGGGUGGAGCCCUGGGAUGCAUGUGGGAUAUAGAGUCUUGUUUCCUGUGAGUCCAGUUGUCUGUCUUACUGCUCAAGAAGAUAGAAUGCAUCAGCAAGUGGCUGGAGAGGCGGGCUGUGGAAGAAGCAGAAAUACCUCUUGACUUGCUGGACAUGUUUCCUUGAGGGAUUUAGGAACUUCAUUCUGGUGUUGAAUUGUCCUCUUGCCUUCGAUGCUCUAUCAGUUCUACAUCCUACGCAGUUUUAAAUUCUUGAAUAAUUUGAUACAGCCGCACCUGUGUUAGUCCAGCACAUAUUUUUCCUCACACUCCUCCUGCAGUCUGCAAUGAAUAAGAGUUCCUGCCACUCCACAUCCUCACCAACAUUUGGUUUGUCAGCGUUCUGGAUUUUGGCCAUUCUAACAGAUGCUGAAGGAAGAUGGGAAAAUCCAAUUAUCUUGGAGGACCUGGGCCCAGGGCUUCGUGCAGAGGAAAUCCUGGUACUUCCAUAUACAGAGACUUUGAUCAUUGAUCCACUGUGGCCUCUGAGUGCUGAUUCAGCUGCAGGAGAUGUCACAGAGACGCUGUAAGAUUGAAGACUACAGACAGGUUUAACACACUUUGUAGAGCAACUCAAAGAACAGUUGCUGAUUGGAAGAGUGAGAAAUCAGAGGACUUUGAAGCAUGAGAAAGAUUCAAGGCAUCUUUUCCGGUUUGAAGAUGAAGAAAACUACAUGACAGGGAAUGAGGGGCCCUCUAGAAUUUGAGAGCUGACUGACAGCCAGCAAAGAUAUCAGGACGUCAGACCUACAAUUGCAAGGACUGCAUUCUGCCAAUGUCACUGGAUUGUUCCGCGUUGCCUCCAAAUAAGAAACCUGCUGGCUGCAAUUUUGAUUUCUGCCUUAUGAGACCUUAUGUAGAAAACCAAGUUGACCUCACCCAGAUGUCUAACAAACUGUAAGAUAAUAAAUGGGUACUGCUUCAUUUUUUAUUUUUAUUUAAUUUAUUUUAUUUUUAAUUGAAGUAUAGUUGAUUUACAAUAUUUCAGGUGUACAUCAACAUGAUUCAUUUAUAUAUAUUCUUUUUCAGAUUAUUUUCUGUUAUAGGUUAAGAUAUUGAAUUUAGUUUGCUGUGCUAUAUAGUACGUCCUUGUUGUUCUAUUUAUACAUAGUAGUGUUUAUAUGUUAAUCCCAAUCUCCCAAUUUAUCCCUCCUCCCCCCUCUUUCCCCUUUGGUAACCACAAGUUUUUGUUUUCUAUGUCUGUGAGUCUAUUUCUGUUUUGUAAAUAAGUUCAUUUGUAACAUUUUUUAGAUUCCACAUGUAAGUGAUAUAUAUUUGUCUUUCUCUGUCUGACUUAGCAUUAAAUUUGUGGUAAUUUGUUAUGUGGCAAUAGAAAACUAAGACAUUUAAUUAUUAUUUAGGAAUUUCACUGUAUGUACAUAUUACCUCUCUCCCUCUGUGUUUGUGUGCGUGAGUGUGUGUGUGCAUGUGUCUAUACCAAGGAAUUUAGCUGGAUUUAGAAUCACAUUGAAGUUUAAUAGAAAACACAGAUUAGAAGCUGAGUUUAUCUCGUGGAUACAGAGUAAGCAGCCUCUGCUUCCACAUCUGGUGAGGUAUAAGAAACAUAUGACAAACACAGGAUUCUUAAAUAAAGCUCUUUGCAUUAUUGGAAAAAAUAAGUAUAUGUUUAAGGACGCCACCAUUUUUGUUUCUCUAAACAUGCUCUUCUCUAGGUUUCCCAUAGGGAACAUUUAUUGAGCUGUUACCAUAUACCAGCCAUUCUUUUAAUAUCUCUCCAUAUAUUAACUCAUAUAAUCCUCACAAUAGCACCAUGAGGUAGAUAGGUAUUUUCAUCAUCUCCAGUUUACAGAUAACUCACGCCAGGAUAACAGAUAACUUACGCAGUGAGACAAUCUGCCUCUGGAGCUCCAGCUUUAACUAUAAUGAUGUAUCUUGCCGUGUAAAAAGUGGAGCCAUCCUGUAUCUUUUCCUCACACCUCAAAUCCAAUCCUAUAGAAUGUCCUAAUGGCUCUACCUUCUAAGCAUAUUCUUACCCUAUUCUGAGCCACCAUCAGGUACUCAUCUGGACCAUUGGAAUAACCUCCCCCACCCCCAUUGCUCUCCCUGCUCCUGACCUUUGUCCCCAUCCCCCAUGGUCCUUGGUCCACAAUAUUGCCAGAUUAGCUCAUUUCUCUCCUUUCUUAAAAUGCUCUGAUGGCCUCAACUACACUCAGAAUAAAGAUUUUGCAAUACUUCUCAGGGAACUUUUGGCAGUGUCUAGAGGUAUUUUUGGUUGUUAUGGCUUAGGGGUAGAAGUGCUACUGGCGUCUGUCUGGUGGAUUGGGAACAGGGAUGCUACUAAACAUUCUUCAAUGCACAGGAUGUCACCCCAAAACAAAGAAUCAUCCAGCUCACAUUGACAGUAAGGCUGAGGUGAGAACCGCUGUUCUAUACUGAGCAUAGCAACGCAUUCAAAGAUAAGGGCAUUAUAUACUUUCAAACCCUAGUGUUUAAGAGUUUCUGGGUUCCCCUCAAACUACCAUGGGGACACAGCAUCCUGCUAGUCAGGGACAUAAACUAGGCCUCGCUCUAGCUUGGAUCAGGGAGCUCUCUCUAGAGUGGAGAACUUCUCUCUGAGCUGAGACUGAAAUCUUGAGAUGCAGCAAGUGGUGAACUGAAUUUUGAAGAGUGAUGAGUAAGUAGAAGAACAUUCUUCACAAACAUCAUAAAGGAAUGGCUGCCACUGCUUUGACCUCAGGAACACCUGCUUUUCUUCUGCUUCCUAGGGUUGCUGAUCACUGCUUAGAUUAAUUUAAUGCCCUCAUGCAUGCUGAAAUAUUAAUGACUAACAUGGUAAAGCCUUUACAUAAUGAUCAAUUUUUAGUAACAUUCUUUAUUAUAAAACAAUAUAAACUUAAAGUAAAAAAAAUUUGGAAGGUAUUUUUUAAGUUAAAAAUCUGAAAGAACAGUGGAAAAGAAAGAAAAAGAAAUUAUAAUUCUACUACUCAGAAGUAACAACUGAUAAUACUUUGGCCCGUGUGUGUG